CCUACGGGUGGCUGCAGUGAGGAAUAUUGGUCAAUGGCCGCGAGCCUGAACCAGCCAAGUCGCGUGAGGGAAGACGGUUCUAUGGUUUGUAAACCUCUUUUAUAGGGGAAUAAAGGUAUCCACGUGUGGCUAUUUGCAUGUACCCGAUGAAAAAGCAUCGGCUAACUCCGUGCCAGCAGCCGCGGUAAUACGGAGGAUGCGAGCGUUAUCCGGAUUUAUUGGGUUUAAAGGGUGCGUAGGCGGUUAUUUAAGUCAGCGGUGAAAGUUUGUGGCUCAACCCUAAUAUUGCCGUUGAAACUGGAAGUCUUGAGUGUGCGAGAGGUAGGCGGAAUGCGUGGUGUAGCGGUGAAAUGCAUAGAUAUCACGCAGAACUCCGAUUGCGAAGGCAGCAUAC
rnacentral:rRNA from 1 species